CCUGGUGGUUAUGGCGGAGCGGCUGCACCCGAUCCCAUUCCGAACUCGGCCGUGAAACGUUCCAGCGCCAAUGGUACUUUGUCUUAAGACACGGGAGAGUAGGUCGCUGCCAGGU
rnacentral:rRNA from 1 species